rnacentral:rRNA from 1 species
UGGGGAAUCUUGCGCAAUGGGCGAAAGCCUGACGCAGCAACGCCGCGUGCGGGAUGACGGCCUUCGGGUUGUAAACCGCUUUCAGCAGGGACGAAAAUGACGGUACCUGCAGAAGAAGCUCCGGCUAACUACGUGCCAGCAGCCGCGGUAAUACGUAGGGAGCAAGCGUUGUCCGGAUUUAUUGGGCGUAAAGAGCUCGUAGGCGGUUCCGUAAGUCGAGUGUGAAAAAUCUGGGCUCAACCCAGUGGAGCACUCGAUACUGCGGUGACUAGAGUCCGGUAGGGGAGUGUGGAAUUCCUGGUGUAGCGGUGAAAUGCGCAGAUAUCAGGAGGAACACCGACGGCGAAGGCAGCACUCUGGGCCGGUACUGACGCUGAGGAGCGAAAGCGUGGGGAGCAAACAGG